GUACAGCGUUAGCAUCAAGGGAGUCCCCGAGGUACAGCGUAAGCAUCAAGGGAGUCAUCAAGGUAAAGCGUUAGCAUCAAGGGAGUCAUCAAGGUAAAGCGUUAGCAUCAAGGAAGUCCCCGAGGUAAAGCGUUAGCAUCAAGGAAGUCCCCGAGGUAAAGCGUUAGCAUCAAGGAAGUCCCCGAGGUACAGCGUUAGCAUCAAGGGAGUCCCCGAGGUACAGCGUUAGCAUCAAGGGAGUCAUCAAGGUAAAGCGUUAGCAUCAAGGCAUCAAGGGAGUCAUCAAGGUAAAGCGUUAGCAUCAAGGGAGUCAUCAAGGUAAAGCGUUAGCAUCAAGGAAGUCCCCGAGGUAAAGCGUUAGCAUCAAGGAAGUCCCCGAGGUACAGCGUUAGCAUCAAGGGAGUCAUCAAGGUAAAACGUUAGCAUCAAGGCAUCAAGGGAGUCAUCAAGGUAAAGCGUUAGCAUCAAGGGAGUCCCCGAGGUACAGCGUUAGCAUCAAGGGAGUCAUCAAGGUAAAGCGUUAGCAUCAAGGCAUCAAGGGAGUCAUCAAGGUAAAGCGUUAGCAUCAAGGGAGUCAUCGAGGUACAGCGUUAGCAUCAAGCGAGUCCCCGAGGUACAGUGUUAGCAUCAAGGGAGUCCCCGAUUUACAGCGUUAGCAUCAAGGGAGUCCCCGAGGUACAGCGUUAGCAUCAAGGGAGUCCCCGAGGUACAGUGUAAGCAUCAAGGGAGUCAUCAAGGUAAAGCGUUAGCAUCAAGGGAGUCAUCAAGGUAAAGCGUUAGCAUCAAGGAAGUCCCCAGGGUAAAGCGUUAGCAUCAAGGGAGUCCCCGAGGUACAGCGUUAGCAUCAAGGGAGUCAUCAAGGUAAAGCGUUAGCAUCAAGGCAUCAAGGGAGUCAUCAAGGUAAAGCGUUAGCAUCAAGGGAGUCAUCGAGGUACAGCGUUAGCAUCAAGCGAGUCCCCGAGGUACAGUGUUAGCAUCAAGGGAGUCCCCGAGGUACAGCGUUAGCAUCAAGGGAGUCCCCGAGGUACAGCGUUAGCAUCAAGGGAGUCCCCGAGGUACAGCGUUAGCAUCAAGGAAGUCCCCGAGGUACAGCGUUAGCAUCAAGGGAGUCCCCGAGGUACAGCGUAAGCAUCAAGGGAGUCAUCAAGGUAAAGCGUUAGCAUCAAGGGAGUCAUCAAGGUAAAGCGUUAGCAUCAAGGAAGUCCCCGAGGUAAAGCGUUAGCAUCAAGGAAGUCCCCGAGGUACAGCGUUAGCAUCAAGGGAGUCCCCGAGGUACAGCGUUAGCAUCAAGGGAGUCAUCAAGGUAAAGCGUUAGCAUCAAGGGAGUCAUCAAGGUAAAGCGUUAGCAUCAAGGGAGUCAUCAAGGUAAAGCGUUAGCAUCAAGGGAGUCCCCGAGGUACAGCGUUAGCAUCAAGGGAGUCCCCGAGGUACAGCGUUAGCAUCAAGGAAGUCCCCGAGGUACAGCGUUAGCAUCAAGGGAGUCCCCGAGGUACAGCGUUAGCAUCAAGGGAGUCCCCGAGGUACAGCGUUAGCAUCAAGGGAGUCAUCAAGGUAAAGCGUUAGCAUCAAGGCAUCAAGGGAGUCAUCAAGGUAAAGCGUUAGCAUCAAGGGAGUCAUCGAGGUACAGCGUUAGCAUCAAGCGAGUCCCCGAGGUACAGCGUUAGCAUCAAGCGAGUCCCCGAGGUACAGUGUUAGCAUCAAGGGAGUCCCCGAGGUACAGCGUUAGCAUCAAGGGAGUCCCCGAGGUACAGCGUUAGCAUCAAGGGAGUCCCCGAGGUACAGCGUAAGCAUCA